GUUUAAUUCAGUUUUAAGUUUCUAUUUUUGUCAUAUUAGGUUAAAUAAAGGGAUUUAAUGAUGGGUAUUCAAUAUUUUUUUCUUUUAGUAGCAGAGAUGUGAUCAUCCCAGCCUGUUUAGCAUUUGCCAGGUGGCACCUACAGUACAUGCCCUUUAAGAGAACUUGUGCACGUGGUUUUCAACAGCAUCCCUCUGGCACUUUGUGGUGAUGUUCUCUUUUAUACCAAAUCCUAAAACUCAGUGACUGAAAAACAGAUUUAUGCAUAUUUUUCAGGUUUAGAACAGCAGGUGACUUGUUAGCAGACCCAAGAUGCUUCUGGAAGCAAAGCAGUGGUUCUGCGUGAUUCAUCAGACCUUUUGGAUCACCAUGUUUGUCCGUCAAGCUUCUGUGCUGGACUGAACCGUGAGGGUCCUGCGUGUGUCCACCUUUCUGCCAUGAGCCUCCCGCCUUACAUUCAUCCCAGGGAGCCUGACCAUGGAUAAUGGGAUCAACAACCUCUGAGGAACCUGAGCCAGUGGACAUGGGAAGUCUUCAGGCCUCCAUCACCUUCCAGCUUGUGCUAUAGGACACUCACCUGGCCUGAGUCCUCCACUUCCCCAGUUCAGCUUCCUCUAACAAGAGUAUCUGUCUGGAGCAGAGCCCGGGCCUGUGAGCUGCACCCGUUUCUCAGAGCAAUGUGGAGUCACUCGAUGCAAGUGACUCAGAGAUCUGCUGUGAAGAAUUAAGCAGGAUUUUUUUUUCCCACAGACAUUCCAUGUCAUCCCUGGGAAUUCUGCCUGAUCUCUCUGGAUAGUUCUGCACCAGACAGAUCCAGAGGGCCCCUGAAUCCAGAGAUCCCAGGUGCAACCAGCUCUUUGUUAAGAAGGGGGAUGGUGCAUCUUCCCUGGCCUUGUGGGAUCCCCAUGAGCUCAUCCCAGCAUCGAGCAUGGAUGGGAGCAACUCAGGGAACACAGCAUCACCUUCCCUUCACGACCCUCUGCAUGAGGCUGCUGGAUCUGUGGCUGCAGACAUUGAAGGACUGCAAUGUCUCUGUGUAAAAAUGGAGACAGGUUACCUGAGCAAUGGUUGAGGAGAGGACUGCAACCAGGGCAUCUCAAUGGCAUUUGAAGGUAACAAAAUGUCUGUGGGGUGAGUAAAUCUGUGUAUUGGUACCAGCACCAAGUCCCUUGAUGCAUUCUCAGUAAGUUAGAAGUUGCAGCAUGUCGAAAGCUGUGACAAAGAAGGUGUGACAGUUGAAAAGAAAAUAUCAAAAAUAAAGUAAAAUAAAUCUUUGAACAAGCUGAACUCUAAAUAAUUAAAACUCGCAAAAAGUGUAAGAAGUGAAGCAGAAAUAAUUGUUGGUGCUAAUAUUUAAAAGCUAUGAAAUGCCUGCAUGUGCCCAGGCAUCAUUUUCUUUUCUAAGAUGUCAGAUUUUACAUGACAGAAAGUUAUCACCCCCAGACUGGUAUUUUUGGAACUGCUCAGUGUCUAGUCAGUUAGUGAGAGUAGUUAACAAUUGCAAGCCUCAUGCCUGGAAAUAAAAUCAACGUGAGUGUUCCUGCUGUUGGCUGAGUUGGGCUGGGGGUGGGCAAGUUGGUGGUGGACAGUGAUGGGACCUUCAGUGCCCAGCAGAUGCCCACUUUACCCACUGCAAUAUGCUUUUAAUCAUAGCUUGCUUUCUAUCCCUACUAGCAAGGAUUUGGGUGGGUCAGCUGGAACACAGAAACCCAAACAGUAAGUGGUACCCUGGAUCUUAACCUAGAGGCAUAACAGCCAUUUCACUCUAUAAAUCUAUAAAUAUUGCUACAAGCCUUUUGUUGUAACGUUGCUGGAAGAGCUUUUAUUUUCAUAUUGCAAAAAUAGGAAGAAAGCGUUGGGUUAAGACGAUGCUGUAGCCAGCAGGAACAAGGGAGAGUAGCGGCGCUCUGUGACAGCAGAAAUAAAAGCACAAGCAGGGAACCACACUGCAAACCAUACCCACCAGGAACUACUAAAAAUCAGGAGCUGCCCCAUGCAGGCUGGAGAGCUGCCACCCGUGGAGAGAGAGAACCCUGGAGCUGCACAGGGCACAGCUGUGGAGGGCAAGCUGGGGAGUCACGCUGUGCUUGUGAGGGAAGGAGAGCUGGGGGAGCAGGGGAUGAAGUUUCUAAGCAUUGCAAUUUUGCUGUGAUUUGUUCAGGAUGGGCUGCUCACCCGUGAAGCAGGAGAUAGCUGCUUUUUUCCUGCUUUUUAUUUCUUUUCUUACUUUUUUGUUUUUCUUCUCUAUUGCUGCAGAGCUUUUGUCAGGUCGGUGAGUUGAAACAUCCUCCAGCAGGGUCAGACAGGAGGUACAGACAGCCCAAAAAGGGCUUUUCAGAGAGGGACAUGGGAGAGGCACAAAGAGGGAACAGGGAAUGGGAGAAGCUGCGAAUCUGGUGUGUCCCAGCUUGAGCCCCUUCCUCCUGAGCCUGGUGCUGCAGAGGCUGUGUGGGUGGUCCUGGAGCUGAGGCCUCCAGGUCCUGCUGUGGGUGUCGAUGGCCUCAAAGCUGUCAAAGUUGUGAGCACGGCAGGUCCACUUGGCAUCCACAGCUCCCAUCCCAAAUAGGUGUGCUUGAACACUUUCCAACCACUGUUAAGAGAGGGCCAGUGGAGACAGACUGUGCAGUAUCUACCAUGAUUGCAGUGACUGCUCUGGUAGCUGUGUGUUCCUCUGCUUGUUAAUCCCCACUGUCCUCACUGUUGAUUUAAAUACCUUUAUGUGGCAUUUGCAGACUAAUGGAGCACGGGGACCCAGAAGGAGCCUCUGAAAGGUUGUCUGAUAUGAUCCACAUAAAUCAGAGCCCAUUCAUCCUUGCACAUGAUCCCCUGCCUGCGUAGACGUGGCUUCUGCAGCAAAAAAUAGAGAUAAGUAGCAAAAGCUGCUCAAGGAGAAGCCUCAUUGUACGUGUUAUGACAGUCGGGAGAGGGAUUAAUCCUGGCAGUGUUUCCUUGUAUUUGUUAAGGUGGAUGAUACACAGUGACAAUGGCAGCUGCUCCUUUCCACAGCGCUGCUGAGGAAACCUUACCUGCAUGUUCCUUCAGAGGUGCAUAAAGCAUCAUUCCUAGCUCACAGGGGUGAUCAAGCCCACAGCUGACAAACACUCCUGUGGCACCACACAUAAACAUAGCACCUUAUUAGCUCACAUUUUGAAGACUCUUCUCUGGAGGAAUGUAAAGGCUGUGAGUGUCAUGGUCUGAGAGCAGCACAGGCACAUCCCCUUCCAUGUUCAUGGAUCAACAGCCUUUCCUGGAGUACGUAGCUAAGCCCUUUCUCUAUACUUUUGUUUUCAUAAUCUGCAGAGAAAGAGCAAGGCUUUUUUCCUGCCUCACUGAGUGUGUUGGUUUAGUGCCUGUGUGUAGUUUAGCUAAGGCAAAAGAGAGUUGGUACCACUCAGAACAGCACUCUAAUGUUGGGCUACUUGAGGAAAAAGUGUUUCUCAAUCACUCCUUUUGAACCCACUGCAUUUAACAUAGAAGUGCUAAACAUGAGUGGAAUGAGUGGAAAGGAAUAAAGAGCUUUGAUUUCUCAAUGCUGGUGAUGAAUGGUGGUGGUGAUGGGAACUCUGGGAUAAUUGUAUCUAUGCUGGGGAUUUUUUUUUCCUUCCUUUUUUUUUUCCCUUUCUUUCUUUCAUCCCAUAAUUGAACAAGCUGCUAAAAGAACCUUAGGAUUAAAUAUUGAACAAGAUGAUUCCUGAGUAACUGUUGCAGCUAAUGCACCAGAGAGUUGUCCAAGUUUUUGCUACACUUGUGUGGUUUAGGGAUAGGGAUUUGACCCUCCUGCCUGUAAACACACAGCUAUGAGGAACAGCUGGAAGGAUGGAGAGGCACUUUACCUGCACAUCAAGCUGGUAACCCUUUCUGGAUUGCACAGAUGCCCCUGGGAGGAGCGUGUGAAGCUGUUUAGUUCUCCCUGCAGAGGGGAUUCCCCAGGAACAGACAGUCCUACAGCAUUCACUACCUGAAGCUGACUUACCAUCAACAAAAGCUAAGAGAGGAAAAGAAACACAAAUAACUAAAAGAAGGUGAAUAACAAACACCAACAAUUCCCAUCGCUGUCAUCAAUAUUGAAGUACUUCACUGAAACAAAAUGUUACGAAGGAAGUUGGGAAUGGACAUUUAAAGACUUAAAAUUUACUGAAUUUUCUCCCCAAUUUGAUUCAUCACGUGAAAGAUCUGUUGCAGAGCAUGAAUCUUAUUCUCCAGGGCAGCUGUGAUUGUCUCUCUGCAGUUCUCUCUCCUACGCACUUUGGAACUCUUUUGUGUAAGAGGUUGGUGAAGUUCAGUGCUGAGUUCUGCAGGAUUGACUUGGAAAUGCUUCCUUUUGACUUUGAUGCCUGAUUACUUGGAGAGCCCAACAACAGCAUGGAUUUAAGAAUCUGCCUUGGCCUUUUGCCCCUUGAGACCUCAGUGAUGUGAAUGUGAGCAGUGCUCUGCGCAUUUAUGCAUGCUCGUGUCCUGGAGCCUAGAAGCACAAUUUCCCGUAAACAUUUCCAAGUUUGGAACAAAAACAGUGAUUACCUGUGGCAUGACUUGAAUUCAGCAAGAACUGCUUGCUUGUGCUACAUGUCUUCAGGUAGGAUUGACUGGCUCAGUUAUCCUGCUUUAUGUGACUGCUUAAGAGAAGACUACAGCCAGUCUCAUCUGCAAAAUGAAGCUCAAAUUCUGCAUUUAUUCUGGCCCUGUAUUGACUGCAGGUAUGGCUUUGUUUGCAGCCUGGCACUUGGAAGUGCUGUUGCAGUUCCCUGGCUUCACAUCAUCAGUUCUAAGCUUUCAUCCUGCCUGGAAUAGAAAUGUUAUCAUAUCUAAUGGGAACUAUAUUUUAGCAGUAAAUAACAGAAAGGGAAGACAUCCUGGGUAUCCCUUCCACUGUUUUUCAGACCAGUAUUCAGCACACUAAAGGCAGGGGUCAUUGUGUGAGCUUCCCUCCAACUCCUGUGUUUAGGCAAGGUAGGCUGGGCUAAUGGUUUAUAGCAAAUAGCAGUAAGUUUCUAGACUAAAGGAGGAACACAACAGGUAGUAUGUGUGUCAUUGGAAAUUGUGUCACUGCUGGAGGGUGGCCAGCCAGUCUGCUUUUAUUUUUAUAUGCUGAUAUAAAUUUACAAUGCCAAUGAUUUGGCUUUUGUCUGUUUAAAAGAUGGCUGUAGUCUAAAGAAGAACCAAUUCCAGUGACCUUUUAAAACUGCAGGUUAUCUUUAGCCUGCUGAAAAUAAGUCCACUCUUUGAAAAUGCAGAGUUAUUGUCUUCACACAGAACACAAAACAUAAGAGCAUAAAAAAUCCAACCCCGUAUUCAUCAUCUUAUUCUGUGGGAGUUAUUCUUGAGCAUGCAAGACCCCACACAUUAUUCCUAUGGGUGCUUACAUCUGACAGUCUCUUUUGUAAUAUGUCUGGUGUUACAAUUCUUCUCUUUUUAAUAAUGACCUGCUUUUAUUCAGAAAUAGUUGAGCUACAGCAGCCCCAUCUAUUUUAGAUAACAAAGACUGCUUUUUAAAGCUGAACUGUGUGAAUGCUUUUUAAACUCCUCUUUUAUAAAGAGAAAUCUGAUAUUCUUAAAAACUUUAGGUUGUACAUUUGCUAUAACAAACCACUUGCAGCUGAUGCGUUGGGGGGGUUCUUAUUUUUUUUAAUAAAUUGUUUUCCAAAUAAAUAGCAAAAUUCCCCAUGGACACUAGGGUAGUGCUAAACAUCUGGCUUGUCUCUGUAGACUGCACCAUUGGAACCCAAAAUACCUGGUUCAGUGCUGUGCCUGUCUCCCAGCUAUAUUCAAAACAUCAGCUUUUCUUGGAGAACAUUUGGUAAAAGCUUCCUUCAUUGCUUUAGGCCAAUUCCCGUGUGGAUAUUACUCCUUCAGACCAAUGUGAAAUUAUUCAGAUUACAAAAAAGUGAAGUUGUCAACAUUUGUUUGCAGAACAAAAUGCUGCAUUGCAAUAACAAGUGUGGAACAAGGAAAAUUCCAACAGCACAUAAUACAUUGUAGUUCUGAUUUUCCCUUCACAUUUCUAGCUUUAAUAUUCUCUGGUCUGGAAGACUAAUUGUUUUUUAAUAAGAAAAAGUUUUUAUGUUACUGAAUUCAAUGAACAGUUCUCUCCUACCUAAGCAGACAAAUGCCCGUCAUGUAACUACGAAACACAGCCUAUAUAUAACUAAGAUCUUGAUUUCUGUCCACAUUUCGACAGCUUUUUGUCAAUAUGAUUUGGUAAAGAAAAGUGAGAGAACAGAGUUUCUAAUGAUAAGGUGGAGCUAUUGGAGGGGAGAGGGAAAGCCAAUCAACUACCUUUUUUCUUACAUUUGCAAGUUUUUUUGUUAAUAUUACAAGGUUAAAGCUUUUUCAUGACCACAUUCCUCAGACAAUCUCCUUUGUGCCUUCAGGAUGUUUUUGCCCUACUCCAGGGCUAGAGACCCUUCCGUGUGCAUCAUUCCACCACCUACCAAAAUCCAACUGGAUGUGCUUCUGGGGUGGGGAGGGCUUCUGAAAUCAGCUUUACCAUUAAUCAAAGACAUGAUGCUUUUUUUUUUUGCUCUAUCAGAUUAAUUGCAUGAAAAGGCACAUGCACUAAAUUGCCCCUGACACUGACCUGGUUAACAAGUGCCAGGGAUAUCUCAUUUCAUCUGUGGUUAAAGGGAAGCUCGUGUGUCAUUUUAUAGAAAACGUGGAUUCUGUAAGUUAUAAACCCAACAGCAAACAUUAUCUACAGCAAUAGGACCUUUCAAAACCUUCUGAGAGAGACUCGCUGGAUUACGAAUUUUCUGCAGUUGCAUCGUCUCUGGUUCAAUCACACAGAUUAAUGUGAUCCAUUGCUCUUAUCUGCACCGAUUUUAUUGCAUUAUAUGUAUGUCAUGAACAUGGUUUGUGGUUGAAAAGGGAACUGUACUGCCACUGUAUGAGAGUGAAAAAGCAUAAUUAAGAGACAAGUCAUGAACAUCCUUUAUUAUGGUCUAACAGCCAUGCUAAUAGUCUCGCUUUACAUUUAUGUGUAAAAGGUACUUCAAGAGGCAAUGCCUUAUGAAAUAAAUUUAAUUUUGACAUUAGGAUGCUGUUAUAACUUACAUAGCCUGCAGAUUACUUUAGAUGGUUGUCUGCCAUAUAGCUCAACUUUGAGACACAGAUAGAACCUUGACUGGAAUCUUGACUGGGGUCUAACUUUUAGUACCUGGUCAAACAAUAUUUUUCCACUUAAAGAGCUUUUCACCUUUGUUUGCAGUGGGAGUAUUAUCAUUAUAUAAAUGGAGACAAGAGGUUUUCACCCAGAUUAUACAUGUGCAAAAAAAACAUACAUUAAGCUAGAACAUCCACUUCCUGAAAAUAUGGCACAGGAGAAGGGAGAGAACUGUUGUAGGUGUGAACCUCACACCUGCAUUUUGGAAAGGCACAUUCUACCUGUCCUUCCAUCCAUCUGUUCAUCACCCAAGGAAUCCUGAGAGCUUUUUUGCUUUGCUUCCUGUGCCUAUGGAAACAGGAAAACUAAAGAAAGAUGAACGACUUCUGUGUGAAAUUUCCUUCCAGGGAACUAACUGCAAAUUGCAGUGGUUAUUAAUACGAGUGAUUCAAGUCUAAUCAGGGAAAAAAAAUAAUGGAAAAAGGGAAGCCAUCUCAGGAAGGAGAAAAACUCGCUUGUCACCUGGGAUAAGGAGAAUCAAAGCUAAACUUCCAGUGCUGUGGACGAGGAUAUGUGUUGGAGAGGAAGAGGUGGCAUCACGAGCAACAGGAAAACAAGGCUGUGAAUAUCAGGGAGCAUUUGGCAGUACCAAGAGGGUGCAGCUCAGAUGAUACAGGCCCAUAGCAGUUGCCCUGUUCUUCCCAUUGAAGUGGAAGCAUUUGGAUUUCAGCUGGUCACAUUUUCUGUACAGCAUUUACACCAUCGUGGAGUUCACGCCCCUCAAGAGGGCCUUAGAUGAAACUGCAGAGAUUCAGUCAUAUUUUCUGGUUUUACUACCAUGAGACUUAGCCUAAGGAAGAGAAAAGGAAGUGGGUCACAGGGGAGCAGAAAAGGCCGUGACUCUUGCUGAAAACUGCUCAGCAAUAAUGAAAACAUCCCCAAAUUAUCAGCACUGUUUCCAGCGCAAAUCCAAAACACAGCCCCAUAGCAGCUAAUGGGAAGGAAAUGAAGGACCCCAGCCCAAAGCAGCACACUGAGGUGUUUGCAUUGUCUCUUUCUACUUUUAAUAAUAGCUUUUUAUGUGACAGUGUGAUGGCUGAAAAGCAACCUGAUGCAGCAGCUACAUAAAUUUGGAAAACUCUUCUUGAAAUCUCUGGUAUAACCCGUGUACUAUAGUGUGUCCAAAUGGAUUUAGUGUAUCAUAACACUCCUAGAAAAACAAAGGGACAAAGAAGAUGGGAUUGCUAAGGGAGACAUUAGAUUUCAUUUCACACUGGUAAUAGUUUAGAGACGUGUGCUGAGCAAAAUGUGAUUCAAUUCUGCGGCACUUUUCUUUUUUAUUGCUGCUAAGUGAUUUCAAUAUCCAGUCUAAAGUGAUACUGAGAGUGUUCGAUAGAACGGGGAUGAAAUCAGGGAGCGCUGGAGGCUCAGAGGAGGCCACAAAUCUCAGGUUGACUCGAUGAAGCCUUUCGGAGCCAUCCCCACCUGACCUUAACCCAUCUUAUUUAACCUGGAGGCUGCUGUUGAAAGCAGAUGGAGAUUGCUACACAAACAGGGAGGAAUACCUGUAGUCGAUGGUCACAAACAUGGCACUUGGGGGCUGCUUCUCAAAGCUAAGGAGCUCCUUUCAGCUUCUGAUAAACACGCAGCUAGAAAAGGAUAGCAAACAAGGCCUGUGGACAUUCAUGCUCAACUCAUUCCCAGGGAUUAGGAUUAAAACCAUGCGAAGUUACUUUGUUUAUUUGUAUUUUUAAUCCUCGUUUGGUACUACCAUUAAUACUCAGUUCAUCAGUGCAGCACAGCUCCCUGCUGAAUUGGGAUGAGCUGGCUGAGUCAGCUGACAGAAGGAAGAGAGGAAGUUUGACAGCAGCACAGACUUACUUGGGCUUAAGGUGGAAGAAAGUGUUCGCUCUUUCCAAGUGACGUAAAAGCAUCUGGAAAAGUGAAGACAGAGGAUUGGGGUCACAAAAACUCCGUGUGGGUUUAGCAUCCUUGAAAACGCCAGGAACGGAGUAAUUGGAUGACUGGUACAGGCUGUGGAUGCAGCUCUUUCAUCACUGCCCCCAGUGAAUGGAAUUCUUUCCCUUCUACAUUUAAAUCUAAUACAGACCUUCAGAUUUCGCUGUGGAUGGUUUCACCUCUGAGCUGAGCAGCAGCCCGAGAGAGCUUCACCUCUGCUGGCGUAUGGAAAACCCUCUGAGGCUCCAGGUGCUGUGGAGCUUGUAUUUGCCUUCUGCAAAAUGCUUCUGGAAUUUUAGGAUGAUUUACAUCAACGUAUCCCUCUGCCACUGCGCCAGGAGGAGUGAUGAGGGUGCCUGAAACACUGCAAGGAUAAGGACACAGGAGAACCACACUCAGAAACCAGGAGGAGAGUCCCCAUGAGGAAGGGGUAUGGAAUACGUAACCUAGAGCCCAGAGGCACAGGGAGCUGUUAGAUCCUCAUCUCAGGGUCUGCUGCAGGCACGAAAGGCCCUUCCACUGCUUGAUAAAGUCUAUUGAAUGUGUUGGAUUGCCAUUAAUCAUGUUCAUCUCUGAGUGGGGACCAGCUCCUUGAAUAUCUCCAGGAAAGCAAGCAAGAGCUGCACCGAAGUUGUGUUCUUCAACAGGAUUGUAAGAUGUGUAGCCAAAGUGCUUCUCAAACUUUUUACAGAUACUCCAGCACAUUUGGAGCAUUUGACAGAAAAGAAUAGGCAAGGGCAACAAUGAUUGAUCCAUGUUUUUAAGAAAAAAAUUGGAGCCAUAUUUCCACCGGGGGCUUCAGAGGGACAUUGAUAUAUUUAUCGUGAAAGAGCUGACGAGCGCCAGCCUUUGCAUCACUAAAAAUGUAGCCUGCUGCAAGAAUUUACAGCUGGAAGGGAAGAUUCAUGGCCCCUCUCUUUAUUUAUUGGAAAAAUCUCUCGCAGCUGAGUAAAGACAUAAAUAUAAAAUUAAAUCACAAAAACUACUCUGAAGUAGUGCUAAGGUUACUUCUUGAACCUACAGGGCCAGGACAACGUAAAACUAAUGUUGAAACACAAUUGAGAUGAACAGUAUUUACUCAUUCAUUAUGACAAACACCACUUUACAGCUAAUAUGUAAAAUCACAGAUUAUUUGAGAGGUUUUGCUAUAUUCUUGUAUGCAAUGCUUAACAGAAGGACUCAAGGACAGCACAUUAGAUAAAGGUACAUCCAUGAAUUUCUGUCCUUAUGAUUUAUAGCUUUCAUGUCACUGUAAAAUUAUUUUUAUAGUUCAUUUUACCAGUGCAUGGUGCAAGAGAACUUUAUAUGCUUUUGAAAAAUAGCUUCAUAAACAACAACAGUCUUUGAUAUAAGUUCUUUGAGUGCAUAGAUAUGGGUGUGAAUGCCUGGAUUAGGUUAAUAUUCUUUGUCCUUUUUAGGUCACUGCAGAUAUUUUAGGUGGCCUCAGCUCCAUGGGCUGAGGAGCGUAGGAGACAGAGCAGGUUCCUCCCGUUAGCAGCCAGGAGAAAGGGGGCAAAAGACAACCCACCCCCAAGAAAAAUUAGUGUUAAUGUGUUAUUUUGGCUAAGACAGUCCAUAAUCUCUACACAGUGAGUUUUCAUCUCUAGAUCUUCCAGCUCUUUAUCUCAAUUUUGCAGGUUGCAAAACUGAUUAAUUACACUAGCAACAUCACUAUAAUUAGUGCUGAUUAUUCUCCGAGCUUUUUCUUCUUUAAUCAUCUGUUUAAUUUGAACUAAAUCCCUAUUUAUCCAAUAGUGUAGGUUUUAGCAUCGGAAGACAGAGGAUUUUGCUUAAGU